rnacentral:misc_RNA from 1 species
GAAAUGCGAUAAGUAGUGUGAAUUGCAGAAUUCAGUGAAUCAUCGAAUCUUGGAACGCACAUUGCGCCCCUUGGUAUUCCAUGGGGCAUGCCUGUUCGAGCGUCAUUUGUACCCUCAAGCUCUGCUUGGUGUUGGGUGUUUGUCCCGUCUCCGCGCGUGGACUCGCCCCAAAGUGAUUGGCAGCCGGCGUACUGGUCCCGGAGCGCAGCACAUGUCGCGCAAACGAGUGCCUUGGUACGGCGGCGUCCAUAAGCCCCUCUCUCACGCUCUUGACCUCGGAUCAGGUAGGGAUACCCGCUGAACUUAAGC